GUCAGGAUGGCCGAGCGGUCUAAGGCGCUGCGUUCAGGUCGCAGUCUCCAUUGGAGACGUGGGUUCGAAUCCCACUUCUGACA
rnacentral:tRNA from 1 species